GGGCCGGAGUUAUGGCCAAUCGUCUAGUCUGGUAGGAUGUUCCCUUGGCAUGGGAGCGAUCGUGGGUUCAAAUCCCACCCGGUCCA
rnacentral:tRNA from 1 species